GACGAACGCUGGCGGCGUGCUUAGCACAUGCAAGUCGAACGGAAAGGCCCUGCUUUUGUGGGGUGCUCGAGUGGCGAACGGGUGAGUAACACGUGAGUAACCUGCCCUUGACUUUGGGAUAACUUCAGGAAACUGGGGCUAAUACCGGAUAGGAGCUCCUGCUGCAUGGUGGGGGUUGGAAAGUUUCGGCGGUUGGGGAUGGACUCGCGGCUUAUCAGCUUGUUGGUGGGGUAGUGGCUUACCAAGGCUUUGACGGGUAGCCGGCCUGAGAGGGUGACCGGCCACAUUGGGACAGAGAUACGGCCCAGACUCCUACGGGAGGCAGCAGUGGGGAAUAUUGCACAAUGGGCGGAAGCCUGAUGCAGCAACGCCGCGUGCGGGAUGACGGCCUUCGGGUUGUAAACCGCUUUCGCCUGUGACGAAGCGUGAGUGACGGUAAUGGGUAAAGAAGCACCGGCUAACUACGUG
rnacentral:rRNA from 1 species